CGUUUCGUGGUAUUUAUUUUCGAUUUUCGAACAGUCAGCUCAGAUAUCAUAUCAAUUUAUACGUAGUCGCGACCAUAAUCGAAGAUUUCUUAUAGACAACACCCAUAGUUGAAAUUCAUGGGUAAAAGGAUUGUACUUGUAGAAGAGCUUGCAUGCAACCAAAAGUCCAAAGCCAAAGCUCUUAGUCAUAAAUGCAAUUCGCUAAGUAUAUCUCAUAAUGUUCCGAGCAAAAAUUGUUGAGCAUGUCUGUCGCUUAAUGAUAUUUACAUUGUUUUCUAUAAAUUUGUUAUAAUUUUUAUUUCAACGCUAUUAUUAAUUAUUUACAAAUAGAAAUUGUUCUUAAAUCUUAAGUACUUAAAUACAGAAUAUUCCCAUUGGCACGUACGACAUUAUACGAUAAAAAAACAUAUUUUUUUAUUUUUGCACUUACAG
rnacentral:misc_RNA from 1 species